rnacentral:piRNA from 1 species
UGGGUCUGUUCAGAAAGCUACUUAG